rnacentral:rRNA from 1 species
GAGUGAGAUUAUACCAGCUUUAAUGCACAGGAUUUUAUCAGAACUCCAUAGUUAAGCAUGCUUGGGCUAGAGUAGUACAGAGAUGGGUGACCUCCCAAGAAGUUCUAGUGUUGCACCCU